AGAGUUUGAUCCUGGCUCAGGAUUAACGCUGGCGGCAUGCCUAAUGCAUGCAAGUAGAACGAGAUUGUCGCAAGACAAUUUAGUUGCGAACGGCUGAGUAAUGGAUAGGAAUCUCCCCAAUGGUGUGGAAUACCUCAUCGAAAGAUGAGCUAAUACCGCAUGACCCCGCAAGGGAAAAGCAGUUAACUCUGCGCCGAUGGAUGAGCCUAUCUCCCAUCAGCUUGUUGGUAGGGUAAAAGCCUACCAAGGCUAUGACGGGUAGGGGGCGUGAGAGCGCGUUCCCCCAGAAUGGGACUGAGACACGGCCCAUACACCUACGGGUGGCAGCAACAGGGAAUCGUACGCAAUGGACGAAAGUCUGACGUCGCAAUGCCGCGUGGGGGAUGAAGGCCUUCGGGUCGUAAACUCCUUUUACAGUAAUAGAGAUGUUAUUGAGAAUAAGCACCUGCUAACUCUGUGCCAGCAGCCGCGGUAAUACAGAGGGUGCAAGCGUUAUCCGGAUUUAUUGGGCGUAAAGCGUUUCGUAGGUUUCUAGGUAAGUUAUUCUUCAAAGACCACGGCUCAACCGGGGGAAGGGGAGUAAUACUAUCUGGAUUGAAAUAUGAUGGGGCUUCUGGAACUGAUGGUGUAGUAGUGAAAUACGUUGAUAUCAUCAGGAACUCCGAGGGCGAAGGCAGGAAGCUAAUCAUUUUUUGACACUGAGGAACGACAGCUAGGGGAGCGAAAGGGAUUAGAGACCCCUGUAGUCCUAGCCGUAAACUUUGCUCGUUAGGGGUUAGUAUUUAUACUUGCCCCGUAAGCUAACGCGUUAAGCGAGCCGCCUGGGGAGUACGGUCGCAAGACUAAAACUCAAAGGAAUUGACGG
rnacentral:rRNA from 1 species